UCUCUGUAAAGGAAGGCACGUCGCUUCAAGACCAGAGGGGAGUAAAGGACCAGGAGAAGAGGAGAGAAGGAUAAAUAAGAGAACAGGAGAGAAUGAAGAGAGAGACAAAGGAUCUGAUAGUCAUUUAGAAGAAGAGAAGGAGAGAAGGAUAGAUAAGAGAAAAGGAGAGAAAGAGGAAUAUAAAGGAUCUGUUAGUCAUUUAGAAGGAGAGGAGAAAGAGAGAAGGAUAAAUAAGAGAACAGGAGAGAAUGAAGAGAGAGAGAGAAAUAAACAACCACUUAGUCAUUUAGAAGCGACAAAACAAGGCAAAGGAACACAGAACACUGCCAGAUUGACCCCACAAACUACUGAAGGACUUACUCACAGACAAAGUACACAAGGCAAAGGAUUCUCAAAGGACUCUAGGGUGAACAGUACCACAGAAAACGGAGGUAGAGGGUUGGUUAAGGAUUCAGACACCACUCCGGCCUUAGUGGAGGGUUACAAAGGACUCAGUAAAGGAUUAGCGAAGGAUUCCAGUCGUUUAGGAAGAGGGAGUGUAGGAGAGGAGGUGAAGGAGGAGGAGGAAGGAAAGGUAAAGGAACAUAAAGGAUUGCAAAGGAACAACAACAACAACAACAACAACAACAACAACAGCAGCAGGAUUCUUGUUCUUUCUUCGGCACCUCCACCCCCCCUCCCUGAGCCCCCGGACCCCCCCAAAGGUUACGACGUGGCCGCCUCUCGUCUGGUGGAGCAGCUGAUGGGCGAGGCCAGGGAGGUGACGCCCCCCGCUGCCGUGCCGGACACUGACCCCCUCCUCCGCUCCCUGCCCCCCCCAAAAGUUUCUGAGUAUAAAGUGGCCUUCAGCUCACGGCCACGUCUUGCAAGGACACCCCCUGGAUCUGCAGGCUCCCUACGCCCCUCCAGCCCACGCCAUGUCUUGCCCCCCAUCGCCAGAGCCACCCACGCCCAUCCCCGCGCCGCCACCUGACCCAUGGAAGGCGUGGGAAAGGGGCAAAAUGGGUCAAAAUGGGCGCCGUUCAGAAUACAAGUGUUUACCUUUAAAUUUCCCCAAGAAGCUCCGUUUUCUGUGAUGAGAGGGAGGGUUUGUGUAAAGAUGUCGUUGUUUUUAUUGUUUUUCGUUGUUUUUAGCGUUGUUUUGAGUGUGUCUUUGUGGAAAAUGGAGAAAUAUAUCGUGUUUUGGUGUGUGUUCUUA